UCACUACUUGCGUAGGCAGUCUGGCUAGAGUCCCCACCACUACGUGCUGGUAACUAACCACAGGGGUUGCGCUCGUUGCGGGACUUAACCAAGCAUCUCACGACACGAGCUGACGACAGCCAUGCACCACCUGUGAUGGUGUCCCGAAGGAAAACCGUGUUUCCACGGCGGUCACCAACAUGUCAAGCCCAGGUAAGGUUCUUCGCGUUGCAUCGAAUUAAUCCGCAUGCUCCGCCGCUUGUGCGGGCCCCCGUCAAUUCCUUUGAGUUUUAGCCUUGCGGCCGUACUCCCCAGGCGGGGCGCUUAAUGCGUUAGCUACGGCACGGAACCCGUGGAAUGGAUCCCACACCUAGCGCCCAACGUUUACGGUGUGGACUAC
rnacentral:misc_RNA from 1 species